AGGUGACUCAACGGAGUCGGAUAAAACAUUCUUUCAUAAAUGAAAUGGUUGAAAUUUCAUCAACUUUCUACCGAAUUAUCAAUAAGAUUCCAUAUAAUAUUCGAUGUCUUUCAGUAACAGUUCAAAAUUACAGGACUUUAGACAAGUACAAGGCUCAUCACAGAGUUAAGAAAUGCCAUGGUUAGUUAAUAACAUACACCUCCAAUCCCAUUGGUCAAACUCCUUCAUCCUUUUGAGACAUUUGCUUUUGCUGACAAUUAUGGCUCUGGUGACAUGAACACAAGGUGAGAGUAACCACGAAAAUGCAAAUUUUAUAAACAGAAGUAUGUCAAAAACACUCUUGUUUGAGAUUAAAUUACACAUCUACAGAACUACA